CGGGACGGGUGAGUAACGCGUGGGUAACCUGCCUUGUACAGGGGGAUAACAGUUGGAAACGGCUGCUAAUACCGCAUAAGCGCACGGCAUCGCAUGAUGCAGUGUGAAAAACUCCGGUGGUAUAAGAUGGACCCGCGUUGGAUUAGCUAGUUGGUGAGGUAACGGCCCACCAAGGCGACGAUCCAUAGCCGACCUGAGAGGGUGACCGGCCACAUUGGGACUGAGAUACGGCCCAA
rnacentral:rRNA from 1 species